rnacentral:rRNA from 1 species
UACGUGGGGUGCAAACGUUGCUCGGAAUCAUUGGGCGUAAAGCGCACGUAGGCGGCGAUCUAAGUCGGAUGUGAAAGCCCUGGGCUUAACCCAGGAAGUGCAUCCGAAACUAAAUUGCUUGAGUCUCAGAGAGGGUUGCGGAAUUCCCGGUGUAGAGGUGAAAUUCGUAGAUAUCGGGAGGAACACCAGUGGCGAAGGCGGCAACCUGGCUGAAGACUGACGCUGAGGUGCGAAAGCGUGGGGAGCAAACAGG